rnacentral:rRNA from 1 species
UACGGGGGGUGCGAGCGUUGUCCGGAAUCACUGGGCUUAAAGGGCGCGUAGGCGGGCUCCCAAGUCUGGGGUGAAAUCUUUCGGCUUAACCGGAAAAGUGCCUCGGAUACUGGGAGCCUUGAGGGAGGCAGGGGCGGAUGGAACUUCCGGUGGAGCGGUGAAAUGCGUUGAUAUCGGAAGGAACGCCGGUGGCGAAAGCGAUCCGCUGGACCUCUUCUGACGCUGAGGCGCGAAAGCCAGGGGAGCAAACGGG